UUUUCAGCGCUCUUGGCAAUGGCCCAUUGAAAUGGCCCUGGCUUAAAGACCACCCUGUAAGGAGGGUUUGGGUCUCCUUCGCCACGCUUAUGUAGCCACAUGCCAGGCAAAAGGACCGCCCUGUAACCAGGGUGUAAGGUCUUAGCCCUCUCGUUCUUAAACUAGGAGAGCCUCUUUGUGCCUGUGGCUGAGUGACCCCCCUUUAAGAAGGGUUGCGGUUCCAGUUCUGUUAGUCGCAGAAAAUUCCCCAAGAAUGAUUUCUAUUUGGCUUUUUUGAGCUUUGAGGUGAAAUCUUAUUUGUGACCCGUGUAUUUCUUCUCCGGGUCACGUGUAACCCGGUGUGGCGAAGGGGCGGCUGUAAGGGGAUGGUGGAGGCCGUGAAAAAUUCGACCCUUCUUUCCCAGAGAGCCAACAAAUCGGCCCAAAUUCCGUAUCUCACAAAGUCUGGAACUGAACAGGUGAGGAAGCGGGCUCCUUUCAGAGCCUCACUUCCAUGCAAUCCUUCCUCAUCUCCUCUUGCCCUGCCCAAUUUACACUGCCCAAUCAACCUCAGCUUUGAGCCCGUGUUUGAUUCGGCACAAGAAAGACGUUGCUGGACGUAGCAUUUGUAAGGGUACAGAUUCGGAGAGCUCCGUAAGUUGUGUCUGAAUUCCAGGCCUUUUGUUUCUUUGCUGACAGAACGAGGCUAUUCCUAGGGCUAUGUUUGAAGUGAUUGAUGCGGCUGUCCUUUUGGAAAUGUGCUCAUGCUCAGCUGGUGUAGGUUCUUGGCGUGGUAUUCAGAACUUGCACGGGGGUGCACCUAACCCUACUAACAGGACUGUGUUUUGGUCAAGGUUAGGGGGCACAAAGUUGAAAUUUUCUUGGUGGGGUAGGAAGGUAAGUCGGGAAGGGUGUUGCCGAGGGAUGGAGGAUUUAAUGGUAAUGCGAGACUCAGCGGGACUCCUCCCUUACCUGUUCAUUACCAGAUCUUUUCACAUUGGGGACUUCCCCCCCUUCUUUAAAGGAGGACUAUUUUCCUAAAGAAAGGGUGACCGCCCUGUACUCAGGGAUCGGGUCUGUUUCCCUUUUCUCCUCUCUGCGUUGGCCCUUUUAAUGCCAAAGUCCCUGGCUGGCCAAAGAGAGCCCCCUCUACCGAGGGAAUGGAGGUCUCUCCUUUUCAGCGCUUUUGGCAAUGGCCCAUUGGGAUGCGCCUGGCUUAAGGACCACCCUGUAAGGAGGGUUUGGGUCUCCUUCGCCACGCUUAUGUAGCCACAGCUCACUUUGAUACGCCAGGCAAAAGGACCGCCCUGUAACCAGGGUGUAAGGUCUUAGCCCUCUCAUUCUUGAACUAGCAGAACCCCCUUGUGCCUCUGGCUGAGUGACCCCCCUUUAAGAAGGGUCGAGGUCUCUCUGGCUUUCUACUAUUCAGGACCUAGCCUUUAAAAUGCCCUGUGCCAAUGACCUCUCCCUGUAAGAAGGGUGCAGGUCUCCCAUUUCUAGCUUGUCUUGGGCCGCUGGCACUUGCUGGGCAAAGAGACCACCCUCUACCGAGGGAAUGGGGGUCUCUCCUUUUCAGCGCUCUUGGCAAUGGCCCAUUGAAAUGGCCCUGGCUUAAAGACCACCCUGUAAGGAGGGUUUGGGUCUCCUUCGCCACGCUUAUGUAGCCACAGCUCACUUUGAUACGCCAGGCAAAAGGACCGCCCUGUAACCAGGGUGUAAGGUCUUAGCCCUCUCAUUCUUGAACUAGGAGAGCCUCUUUGUGCCUCUGGCUGAGUGACCCCCCUUUAAGAAGGGUCGAGGUCUCUCUGGCUUUCUGCUAUUUAGAACCUAGCCUUUAAUAUGCCCCGUGCCACUGACCUCUCCCUGUAAGAAGGGUGCAGGUCUCCCCUUUCUAGCUUGUCUUGGGCCGCUGGCACUUGCUGGGCAAAGGGACCACCCUCUACCGAGGGAAUGGAGGUCCCUCCUUUUCAGCGCUUUUGGCAAUGGCCCAUUGGGAUGCGCCUGGCUUAAGGACCACCCUGUAAGGAGGGUUUGGGUCUCCUUCCCCACCCUUAUUUAGACACAGGUCACUUUGACACGCCAGGUAAAAGGACCGCCCUGUAACCAGGGCCUAAGGUCUUAUCCCUCUCAUUCUUAAACUAGCAGAACCCCCUUGUGCCUCUGGCUGAGUGACCCCCCUUUAAGAAGGGUUGAGGUUCUACUUCGGCUAGUCACCGUAAAUGGCACUAGAAUGAUUUCUACUUGGCUCUUCUGGGUUCUGAAGUGAAAUCUGAUUUGUGUCCCAUGGAUUUCCUGUCCGGGACACAUGGAACCAGGUGUGGCGAAGGGGCGGCUGUAAGGGGAUGGUGGAGGCCGUGAAAAAUUCAACCCUUUCCUCAAAAAAGCCAAGAAAUCACCAAAGUCCAAAGUGAGCUCCCUCUAACUAGGGUGUAGGUCUUUCUCUCACUUUCCCAAGAUUACACUCCCCUUUGAAAGCUAGUUCUAGAAACCAGCCUCUUGAGAGAGUUAAGGGUUUGCCCUUGUAGCUGCCCUGUGCCCGUGGCCUCCUCACGCACUCAGCCAAGUCAAAGCCCAGCGUACUCUGCAUCCGGAUGGCCCUGAGUUCUGCUGCAAGCUCUCCUGCCUUCUGCUACGGAUUGGUGCCGAAGCCUAGGAACUGGGCAACUCAAAGGACAAAAUGAAGACGACGACAGAAGCACCAAAGAAACUGCAGGAAAAGAGAAGAAAAGGCCAGUCAAAAACCACACACACAUUGCACACAUGGCCCUCCCUGUGGCAUUUACACUUGUCCGCCUAGGCUUAAUCCCCCUGGAGGGACCAGGGGAAAGGACCUCUCCGUAAACGGAGAUCAAGGUCCGCUCCUUGCCAAGAGAAAUGCUUUAUGGGCCCAUUGCGCACCUGCGGCUGAGUGACCCCCCUUUAAGAAGGGUUGAGGUCUCUGUGCAUUUCGGCUCUUCAGGACUUAGCCUUUAACAUGCCCCGUGCCAUGACCUCUCCCUGUAAGAAGGGUGCGGGUCUCCCCUUUCUAGCUUGUCUUGGGCCGCUGGCACUUGCUGGGCAAAGGGACCACCCUCUACCGAGGGAAUGGAGGUCUCUCCUUUUCAGCGCUUUUGGCAAUGGCCCAUUGAAAUGCCCCGGCUUAAGGACCACCCUGUAAGGAGGGUUUGGGUCUCCUUCGCCACGCUUAUGUAGCCACAUGCCAGGCAAAAGGACCGCCCUGUAACCAGGGUGUAAGGUCUUAGCCCUCUCGUUCUUAAACUAGGAGAGCCUCUUUGUGCCUGUGGCUGAGUGACCCCCCUUUAAGAAGGGUUGCGGUUCCAGUUCUGUUAGUCGCAGAAAAUUCCCCAAGAAUGAUUUCUAUUUGGCUUUUUUGAGCUUUGAGGUGAAAUCUUAUUUGUGACCCGUGUAUUUCUUCUCCGGGUCACGUGUAACCCGGUGUGGCGAAGGGGCGGCUGUAAGGGGAUGGUGGAGGCCGUGAAAAAUUCGACCCUUCUUUCCCAGAGAGCCAACAAAUCGGCCCAAAUUCCGUAUCUCACAAAGUCUGGAACUGAACAGGUGAGGAAGCGGGCUCCUUUCAGAGCCUCACUUCCAUGCAAUCCUUCCUCAUCUCCUCUUGCCCUGCCCAAUUUACACUGCCCAAUCAACCUCAGCUUUGAGCCCGUGUUUGAUUCGGCACAAGAAAGACGUUGCUGGACGUAGCAUUUGUAAGGGUACAGAUUCGGAGAGCUCCGUAAGUUGUGUCUGAAUUCCAGGCCUUUUGUUUCUUUGCUGACAGAACGAGGCUAUUCCUAGGGCUAUGUUUGAAGUGAUUGAUGCGGCUGUCCUUUUGGAAAUGUGCUCAUGCUCAGCUGGUGUAGGUUCUUGGCGUGGUAUUCAGAACUUGCACGGGGGUGCACCUAACCCUACUAAUAGGACUGUGUUUUGGUCAAGGUUAGGGGGCACAAAGUUGAAAUUUUCUUGGUGGGGUAGGAAGGUAAGUCGGGAAGGGUGUUGCCGAGGGAUGGAGGAUUUAAUGGUAAUGCGAGACUCAGCGGGACUCCUCCCUUACCUGUUCAUUACCAGAUCUUUUCACAUUGGGGACUUCCCCCCCUUCUUUAAAGGAGGACUAUUUUCCUAAAGAAAGGGUGACCGCCCUGUACUCAGGGAUCGGGUCUGUUUCCCUUUUCUCCUCUCUGCGUUGGCCCUUUUAAUGCCAAAGUCCCUGGCUGGCCAAAGAGAGCCCCCUCUACCGAGGGAAUGGAGGUCUCUCCUUUUCAGCGCUUUUGGCAAUGGCCCAUUGGGAUGCGCCUGGCUUAAGGACCACCCUGUAAGGAGGGUUUGGGUCUCCUUCGCCACGCUUAUGUAGCCACAGCUCACUUUGAUACGCCAGGCAAAAGGACCGCCCUGUAACCAGGGUGUAAGGUCUUAGCCCUCUCAUUCUUGAACUAGGAGAGCCUCUUUGUGCCUCUGGCUGAGUGACCCCCCUUUAAGAAGGGUCGAGGUCUCUCUGGCUUUCUGCUAUUUAGAACCUAGCCUUUAAUAUGCCCCGUGCCACUGACCUCUCCCUGUAAGAAGGGUGCAGGUCUCCCCUUUCUAGCUUGUCUUGGGCCGCUGGCACUUGCUGGGCAAAGGGACCACCCUCUACCGAGGGAAUGGAGGUCCCUCCUUUUCAGCGCUUUUGGCAAUGGCCCAUUGGGAUGCGCCUGGCUUAAGGACCACCCUGUAAGGAGGGUUUGGGUCUCCUUCCCCACCCUUAUUUAGACACAGGUCACUUUGACACGCCAGGUAAAAGGACCGCCCUGUAACCAGGGCCUAAGGUCUUAUCCCUCUCAUUCUUAAACUAGCAGAACCCCCUUGUGCCUCUGGCUGAGUGACCCCCCUUUAAGAAGGGUUGAGGUUCUACUUCGGCUAGUCACCGUAAAUGGCACUAGAAUGAUUUCUACUUGGCUCUUCUGGGUUCUGAAGUGAAAUCUGAUUUGUGUCCCAUGGAUUUCCUGUCCGGGACACAUGGAACCAGGUGUGGCGAAGGGGCGGCUGUAAGGGGAUGGUGGAGGCCGUGAAAAAUUCAACCCUUUCCUCAAAAAAGCCAAGAAAUCACCAAAGUCCAAAGUGAGCUCCCUCUAACUAGGGUGUAGGUCUUUCUCUCACUUUCCCAAGAUUACACUCCCCUUUGAAAGCUAGUUCUAGAAACCAGCCUCUUGAGAGAGUUAAGGGUUUGCCCUUGUAGCUGCCCUGUGCCCGUGGCCUCCUCACGCACUCAGCCAAGUCAAAGCCCAGCGUACUCUGCAUCCGGAUGGCCCUGAGUUCUGCUGCAAGCUCUCCUGCCUUCUGCUACGGAUUGGUGCCGAAGCCUAGGAACUGGGCAACUCAAAGGACAAAAUGAAGACGACGACAGAAGCACCAAAGAAACUGCAGGAAAAGAGAAGAAAAGGCCAGUCAAAAACCACACACACAUUGCACACAUGGCCCUCCCUGUGGCAUUUACACUUGUCCGCCUAGGCUUAAUCCCCCUGGAGGGACCAGGGGAAAGGACCUCUCCGUAAACGGAGAUCAAGGUCCGCUCCUUGCCAAGAGAAAUGCUUUAUGGGCCCAUUGCGCACCUGCGGCUGAGUGACCCCCCUUUAAGAAGGGUUGAGGUCUCUGUGCAUUUCGGCUCUACAGGACUUAGCCUUUAACAUGCCCCGUGCCACUGACCUCUCCCUGUAAGAAGGGUGCGGGUCUCCCCUUUCUAGCUUGUCUUGGGCCGCUGGCACUUGCUGGGCAAAGGGACCACCCUCUACCGAGGGAAUGGAGGUCUCUCCUUUUCAGCGCUUUUGGCAAUGGCCCAUUGAAAUGCCCCGGCUUAAGGACCACCCUGUAAGGAGGGUUUGGGUCUCCUUCGCCACGCUUAUGUAGCCACAGAUCACUUGGACACGCCAGGCAAAAGGACCGCCCUGUAACCGGGGCCUAAGGUCUUAUCCCUCUCAUUCUUAAACUAGCAGAACCCCCUUGUGCCUCUGGCUGAGUGACCCCCCUUUAAGAAGGGUCGAGGUCUCUCUGGCUUUCUACUAUUCAGGACCUAGCCUUUAAAAUGCCCUGUGCCAAUGACCUCUCCCUGUAAGAAGGGUGCAGGUCUCCCAUUUCUAGCUUGUCUUGGGCCGCUGGCACUUGCUGGGCAAAGAGACCACCCUCUACCGAGGGAAUGGGGGUCUCUCCUUUUCAGCGCUCUUGGCAAUGGCCCAUUGAAAUGGCCCUGGCUUAAAGACCACCCUGUAAGGAGGGUUUGGGUCUCCUUCGCCACGCUUAUGUAGCCAC